rnacentral:rRNA from 1 species
AACGAACGCUGGCGGCAGGCCUAACACAUGCAAGUCGAACGCUCCGCAAGGGGAGUGGCGCACGGGUGAGUAACACGUGGGAACCUACCUUCUGGUACGGAACAACCAAGGGAAACUUUGGCUAAGACCGUAUACGACCUCCGGGUGAAAGAUUGAUCGCCGGAAGAGGGGCCCGCGUCCGAUUAGGUAGUUGGUGAGGUAACGGCUCACCAAGCCUUCGAUCGGUAGCUGGUCUGAGAGGAUGACCAGCCACACUGGGACUGAGACACGGCCCAGACUCCUACGGGAGGCAGCAGUGGGGAAUAUUGGACAAUGGGCGCAAGCCUGAUCCAGCCAUGCCGCGUGAGUGAUGAAGGCCUUGGUU